rnacentral:lncRNA from 1 species
GCGACUGGCGAGACCAAGGAAACUCGCUGCCUGGGUGCUGGCUGGACCUAUCGGAAACUUAGGUCUCCCGCAGCCGGGUGGUCGCCAACUCGAUUUGCCCCAAGCCUGGGAGCGACUGAAUAGGGACCGAAGGAAACAGGUGGAGAGGAACCUUGCCACCCUUGGCCCACCCCGGAAUUUGUAGAUGAGCUUUCCAGGAGCGCUGUGCAAGGCGACAGCGGCGUGCAGACCCGCUUUGGGACAGGUUAUAAUCAUCUUCCUUUUCAAGAAGGCUCAAGCCAGUCUAAGAUCUGAGGCAGUGUGUUUGUAGCUUCAGUCUUCAACAUUUUUAAAUACAGUAUUUGCGCCUUUAGAUGGAAAAGAAUCCAUCAACUUGUAAAUGUGAAAUAUCCAGGCCAGCAAACUGAAGGUAAAGUCUACCUCACCCUUGCUUUUGGUUUACCUUAAUUUGCGUAUUACUUCUUAAAGAUAAAUCUCAAAGGUCUAUCAGGAAAUGUCUCAUGAAUUUCUCACAAAAGUAUCUUGAUUGGGUCCCAUGAGUGUUCAGGAAGUUUUAUUUCUAAUGCAGCCAUAAUUACUUUAAAAAAUAGUUUCUGUUUUGACCUGGUUAAUAACUAAAAAUGCACCUGCAUUUUUAACCUACAAGUAAAAUGAUAUAUGGUUCCGUCAAAUUACUUGUCAAAAGCUGAAAAAAAAGACUACACUUUAAAUUGACUAGUCACACCAUUUGUAAACCUUGAGGGUUUCGGGGGGGUCUACUUUCAUGUUGAAGAAAUAAUUUCACAAUUUCAAAUCAAAGUCAACACUGCAGUGAGGAGAGCUUUUCUACUUUAU